rnacentral:misc_RNA from 1 species
GAAAUGCGAUAAGUAAUGUGAAUUGCAGAAUUCCGUGAAUCAUCGAAUCUUUGAACGCACAUUGCGCCCUCUGGUAUUCCGGGGGGCAUGCCUGUCCGAGCGUCAUUGCGAAACCCUCAAGCACGGCUUGUGUGAUGGGCCCUCCCGCGUCUUGGUCGUCAAGACGGGCCCGAAAUGCAGUGGCGGCUUCGCGGUUAUCCGAUCAGCCAGAGCGUAUGGGGACUUUCUCUCUGUCACACGCCCGCGGCGCGGACCGACGCCUGUCGACCUUUAUUCAUCUUUUUCUCGGUUGACCUCGGAUCAGGUAGGGAUACCCGCUGAACUUAAGC